rnacentral:rRNA from 1 species
AAUUUGGGGAUGCCUGCUGGCGGCAGGCCUAACACAUGCAAGUCGAACGGCAGCACAGGGGAGCUUGCUCCUUGGGUGGCGAGUGGCGGACGGGUGAGGAAUGCGUCGGAAUCUGCCUUUUCGUGGGGGAUAACGUAGGGAAACUUACGCUAAUACCGCAUACGACCUACGGGUGAAAGCCGGGGACCUUCGGGCCUGGCGCGGAAAGAUGAGCCGACGUCGGAUUAGCUAGUUGGUGGGGUAAAGGCCUACCAAGGCGACGAUCCGUAGCUGGUUUGAGAGGACGACCAGCCACACUGGGACUGAGACACGGCCCAGACUCCUACGGGAGGCAGCAGUGGGGAAUUUUGGACAAUGGGGGCAACCCUGAUCCAGCCAUCCCGCGUGUGCGAUGAAGGCCUUCGGGUUGUAAAGCACUUUUGGCAGGGAAGAAACAGGUCUGGAUAAUACCUGGACUGAAUGACGGUACCUGCAGAAUAAGCACCGGCUAACUACGUGCCAGCAGCCGCGGUAAUACGUAGGGUGCAAGCGUUAAUCGGAAUUACUGGGCGUAAAGCGUGCGCAGGCGGUUUGACAAGAAGGAUGUGAAAUCCCCGGGCUUAACCUGGGAAUGGCAUUUUUACUGUCAGGCUAGAGUAUGUCAGAGGGUGGUAGAAUUCCCCGUGUAGCAGUGAAAUGCGUAGAUAUGUGGAGGAAAACCCAUGGCGAAGGCAGCCCCCUGGG